ensembl:lncRNA
AGAAAAUAACAAGGUAGGCCUAAACUGUAAUAAGAUAUAUCUUAUAGACUGCUUCAGUGCAUUUGGAAAGUAUUCAGACCCCUUGACUUUUUACACAUUUCAUUUUUUACGUUACAGCCUCAUUCUAAAAUGGAUUACAUACAACAUUUUCCUCAUCAAUCUACACACAAUAUCCUAUAAUGACAAAGCAAAAACAGUUUAGACAUUUUUGCAAUUUAAAACGGAAAAAAACAGAAAUACCUUAUUUACAUAAGUAUUCAAACCCUUUGCUAUGAGACUCGAAAUUGAGCACCGGUGCAUCCUGUUUCCCUUGAUCAUCCUUGAGGUAUUUCUACAACAUGAUUGGAGUCCACCUGUGGUAAAUUCAAUUGAUUGGACAUGAUUUGGAAAGGCACAUACCUAAGGUCCCACAGUUGACAGUGCAAAAAUCUAUUUUAAUUCCAGGUUAUAAGGCAACAAAAUAGGGAAAAUGCCAAGGGGGGUGAAUACUUUCGCAAGCCACUGUAAAUGGUUCAGUUCACAUAAACAGUCAUUAUUUUCAGUUUGAGAGAUCAUCCCGGGCUUUGCCCCGUCUGCUGUAGCUGAGAUGUCCCUGGAGGACAUAGAACAACAAGACUAUGAUGUUUCUGACACUGAGAGAGUCAGGUAAGGCCACUUACACUCUGUCCAGUUAGAUAUUUGUGUGGAGAUUAAGAGAGAGAGACUAAUAAGAAAGAACUUGUUAUGGGGCAGGUCAGGCGUCAUUCAUGGAGUCAUUUGUAGGGUCAAGUCCCCAGCCGAUCUAUUUGAACCGCUCAUUAUUUGUGGCCAUGUAUUAACUACUAAGUGAGUCUUUGACAUGAAGACAGUGGUUAGAUUCUGCCAUUGGGACUGCUCUGAUGUUGUUUCCAUUCUCUCCUGGUUAUGACCAUAGAGCCUUGUCCCAGUCUCUAGACCUGCCUGUCUGUGUGGUGGAUGACCACCUGACCUCUGAAGCUGUCAAUGAGAUGGAGCAGAGCAAUUCUACCAGGAGCAGAGCAACCUCAGUGAUGGAAACCACAGAAGAGGGGAAGCUCAACAAUGUGGAACAUCUGACACUGAUGGACUUCCUUCAAAACCUAACUGAGAAG